AUGUGGGUUAAUAGAGAGAACUGGGACAAAUUUAUUUCAGGGCACUGUCAUCCCCGUUUCACCCGCUCCAAACAUUGGGAAGUUGCGAUGGCGAAUUCUUGCUCGCCGUUCGAAAAGUCCAGGACGGCUUCUCUUCCUGCAGAUGGAACUACAACUCCCAAGGUGCCGCCCUUCAGAGAGUUGCAAAACGGGAAGGCUGCCCCCGUUAGGGAAGGGGACCUUCUGGAAUCCCAGAGGGGUCUAGGGGAGCUUCUUCUCGCGUUAAGAAGCAAAAAGGCCCUUCCGUGCUUUGGGAAUUCCUCCAGCGGCUGCAUCCUGUUGGGUCUCUUAAUUUGGGGUGUGCGUUUGGCAUGCCCGCCAGGUGGCAUCUGUGUCCCAAUGCCAUCUUCCUCCAAGACAGUCCUCUCCUUGUUCAGAGAAAUGCUGCCACCCGCCCCGGCCGGGCGGCUGCAGAAAUGUGCCUCUUGGCACAAUGCAAACUCCUGAGCCAGCCUUGUUUUUGAGGGGAGGGACCCAAGCCCAUGGAAGGGGAGACUCCUUCCGUAAACGAAUCCUCUUCGGGUGCCAGAACUUUGGGCACCCUAUGAUUGCUUCCCUCUCCCUCCGCAGCCCUGGGGAGAGACGUAAUGCAAUUCUGCAGUGAAAUGCUGCAGUUUAAUGGCUUCUCUGGCUUGGUCUUCACCAACAAAAGAAAACGGGAGGUUUAUUUAUUGGGACCCAGAAUCAUAAGGGGGAACAGCAGGUACUGUGACACCCCCUCCACUCCAAGCGCUGACAGGUUGAGAAAAACUUCUCAAGCUUGAAACAUACCCCAGAUGUGUGGACAUCAGCUCCCCAAAUUUUCAGAUGUGACAACGUGACAAUCAUCACUAGGAAAUUGGGACCUCAGCAUUUCUCAGCUAGCGUGGCCAUUGCUAAGAACUCUGGGCAUCGGUGACUAAACAUCUGGAGACUUAGAAGGUCCACCUUCUAAGAGGGCUUGGUCCACCUUCUCCAAGUUGUGCGGCAUUUCAACUGCCACGUCCCUUAGCCAGCAGGGUAGUGAUUCCAUGAUCCCCCCCUCGUUUUUGCUUUACCUUGUUUGUAUAAAUUCUCUACCUGAGACGAAGGGCAGCAGGAUGGGGAAGGUGCCUCUCUAACAUCCGGAUUCAAGAGAAAACAGCGGCAAAGACCGAGGGAGAAUGGAAUCACGUCAGAGCAUCAAGAGAAGCCCGUAAAAAUAAAAUUAAAUUAAAAGUCUCCAGGGAUGUGCCGGGUGGGAGGGACAAAUCGAAGCGAGGAGAGCCAGAGGACCAUAACUGGACAGCCAUGUUCUUUGCACCUUCCGCGCACGCGGAAUGCCUCCUGGACCAAAUUAUUCACCCUCAAUAGGGUGACAACCAGCCUUUAAAGGGGGAAAUCUACCAGCUUUCUGCAAACUCCUCCGUUCUCUAGAUUCCCCCCUCCCCAAAUU
rnacentral:lncRNA from 1 species